rfam:Anaerostipes sp. CAG:276 genomic scaffold, scf212
GGUCAGGAGAUUAGACCUUAAAUAGUCGGUUUCGGGGUGGAUGGUUACACACCUAAAACAACCUA